rnacentral:misc_RNA from 1 species
ACUCCGUUGGUGAACCAGCGGAGGGAUCAUUACCGAGUUAUCAACUCCCAAACCCCUGUGAACAUACCUGAACGUUGCCUCGGCGGGACCGCCCCGGCGCCCAUCUCGCGGCCCGGAACCAGGCGCCCGCCGGAGGACCCAAACUCUUGCUUUGAACAGUGGCAUACUCUCUGAGUCUCACAAACAAAGAAUGAAUCAAAACUUUCAACAACGGAUCUCUUGGUUCUG